rnacentral:tRNA from 1 species
GGUCCCAUGGCUUAGAUGGCAAAGCGCCUGCCAGGAGAUCAUGAGUUCGAGUCUCAUUGGGACCU